UACGUAGGGUGCAAGCGUUGUCCGGAAUUAUUGGGCGUAAAGAGCUCGUAGGCGGCUUGUCGCGUCGGCUGUGAAAACCUGGGGCUCAACCCCGGGCCUGCAGCCGAUACGGGCAGCUAGAGUUCGGUAGGGGAGACUGGAAUUCCUGGUGUAGCGGUGAAAUGCGCAGAUAUCAGGAGGAACACCGGUGGCGAAGGCGGGUCUCUGGGCCGAAACUGACGCUGGAGGAGCGAAAGCGUGGGGAGCGAACAGG
rnacentral:rRNA from 1 species